UACGGAGGGUGCAAGCGUUAUCCGGAUUCACUGGGUUUACAGGGUGCGUAGGCGGACAUGUAAGUCCGUGGUGAAAUCUCUAAGCUUAACUUGGAAACUGCCAUGGAUACUAUAUGUCUUGAAUGUUGUGGAGGUUAGCGGAAUAUGUCAUGUAGCGGUGAAAUGCAUAGAUAUGACAUAGAACACCAAUUGCGAAGGCAGCUGGCUACACAAAUAUUGACGCUGAGGCACGAAAGCGUGGGGAUCAAACAGG
rnacentral:rRNA from 1 species